rnacentral:rRNA from 1 species
UACGGAGGAUGCGAGCGUUAUCCGGAUUUAUUGGGUUUAAAGGGUGCGCAGGCGGCGUGUCAAGUCAGCGGUAAAAUGUCGGGGCUCAACCCCGGCCGGCCGUUGAAACUGGCGUGCUCGAGUUGGAGAGAAGUAUGCGGAAUUCGUGGUGUAGCGGUGAAAUGCAUAGAUAUCACGAAGAACUCCGAUUGCGAAGGCAGCUUACCAGUCUGCGACUGACGCUCAGGCACGAAAGUGUGGGUAUCGAACAGG